rnacentral:rRNA from 1 species
AGAGUUUGAUCCUGGCUCAGAGCGAACGCUGGCGGCAGGCCUAACACAUGCAAGUCGAACGAACUCUUCGGAGUUAGUGGCGGACGGGUGAGUAACACGUGGGAACGUGCCUUUAGGUUCGGAAUAACUCAGGGAAACUUGUGCUAAUACCGAAUGUGCCCUUCGGGGGAAAGAUUUAUCGCCUUUAGAGCGGCCCGCGUCUGAUUAGCUAGUUGGUGAGGUAAAGGCUCACCAAGGCGACGAUCAGUAGCUGGUCUGAGAGGAUGAUCAGCCACAUUGGGACUGAGACACGGCCCAAACUCCUACGGGAGGCAGCAGUGGGGAAUCUUGCGCAAUGGGCGAAAGCCUGACGCAGCCAUGCCGCGUGAAUGAUGAAGGUCUUAGGAUUGUAAAAUUCUUUCACCGGGGACGAUAAUGACGGUACCCGGAGAAGAAGCCCCGGCUAACUUCGUGCCAGCAGCCGCGGUAAUACGAAGGGGGCUAGCGUUGCUCGGAAUUACUGGGCGUAAAGGGAGCGUAGGCGGACAUUUAAGUCAGGGGUGAAAUCCCGGGGCUCAACCUCGGAAUUGCCUUUGAUACUGGGUGUCUUGAGUAUGAGAGAGGUGUGUGGAACUCCGAGUGUAGAGGUGAAAUUCGUAGAUAUUCGGAAGAACACCAGUGGCGAAGGCGACACACUGGCUCAUUACUGACGCUGAGGCUCGAAAGCGUGGGGAGCAAACAGGAUUAGAUACCCUGGUAGUCCACGCCGUAAACGAUGAUUGCUAGUUGUCGGGAUGCAUGCAUUUCGGUGACGCAGCUAACGCAUUAAGCAAUCCGCCUGGGGAGUACGGUCGCAAGAUUAAAACUCAAAGGAAUUGACGGGGGCCCGCACAAGCGGUGGAGCAUGUGGUUUAAUUCGAAGCAACGCGCAGAACCUUACCACCUUUUGACAUGCCUGGACCGCCAGAGAGAUCUGGCUUUCCCUUUCGGGACUAGGACACAGGUGCUGCAUGGNUGUCGUCAGCUCGUGUCGUGAGAUGUUGGGUUAAGUCCCCGCAACGAGCGCAACCCCUCCGCCAUUAGUUUGCCAUCAUUUAGUUUGGGGAACUCUAAUGGG